rnacentral:tRNA from 1 species
GGAGAGGUGGCAGAGUGGUCGAAUGCACCGCACUCGAAAUGCGGCAUGCUCGCAAGGGCAUCCAGGGUUCGAAUCCCUGCCUCUCCGCCA